rnacentral:rRNA from 1 species
GUGGGGAAUUUUGGACAAUGGGCGCAAGCCUGAUCCAGCCAUGCCGCGUGCAGGAUGAAGGCCUUCGGGUUGUAAACUGCUUUUGUACGGAACGAAACGGCUCUUUCUAAUAAAGAGGGCUAAUGACGGUACCGUAAGAAUAAGCACCGGCUAACUACGUGCCAGCAGCCGCGGUAAUACGUAGGGUGCGAGCGUUAAUCGGAAUUACUGGGCGUAAAGCGUGCGCAGGCGGUGAUGUAAGACAGAUGUGAAAUCCCCGGGCUCAACCUGGGAACUGCAUUUGUGACUGCAUCGCUGGAGUGCGGCAGAGGGGGAUGGAAUUCCGCGUGUAGCAGUGAAAUGCGUAGAUAUGCGGAGGAACACCGAUGGCGAAGGCAAUCCCCUGGGCCUGCACUGACGCUCAUGCACGAAAGCGUGGGGAGCAAACAGGAUUAGAUACCCCUGUAGUCC